rnacentral:rRNA from 1 species
GAGUUUGAUCAUGGCUCAGAUUGAACGCUGGCGGCAUGCCUUACACAUGCAAGUCGAACGGCAGCACGGGGGCAACCCUGGUGGCGAGUGGCGAACGGGUGAGUAAUGCAUCGGAACGUGCCCUGAAGUGGGGGAUAACGUAGCGAAAGUUACGCUAAUACCGCAUAUUCUGUGAGCAGAAAAGCAGGGGAUCUUAGGACCUUGUGCUUUGGGAGCGGCCGAUGUCGGAUUAGCUAGUUGGUGAGGUAAAGGCUCACCAAGGCGACGAUCCGUAGCGGGUCUGAGAGGAUGAUCCGCCACACUGGAACUGAGACACGGUCCAGACUCCUACGGGAGGCAGCAGUGGGGAAUUUUGGACAAUGGGCGCAAGCCUGAUCCAGCCAUGCCGCGUGAGUGAAGAAGGCCUACGGGUUGUAAAGCUCUUUCGGCGGGGAAGAAAUAGCGUGGGUUAAUACCCUGCGUUGAUGACGGUACCCGCAU